AGUACCGUGAGGGAAAGGUGAAAAGCACCCCGGAAGGGGAGUGAAAUAGAACCUGAAACCGUGUGCUUACAAGUAGUCAGAGCCCGUUAAUGGGUGAUGGCGUGCCUUUUGUAGAAUGAACCGGCGAGUUACGAUUUGAUGCAAGGUUAAGCAGUAAAUGUGGAGCCGUAGCGAAAGCGAGUCUGAAUAGGGCGUUUAGUAUUUGGUCGUAGACCCGAAACCAGGUGAUCUACCCUUGGUCAGGUUGAAGUUCAGGUAACACUGAAUGGAGGACCGAACCGACUUACGUUGAAAAGUGAGCGGAUGAACUGAGGGUAGCGGAGAAAUUCCAAUCGAACCUGGAGAUAGCUGGUUCUCUCCGAAAUAGCUUUAGGGCUAGCCUCAAGUGAUGAUUAUUGGAGGUAGAGCACUGUUUGGACGAGGGGCCCCUCUCGGGUUACCGAAUUCAGACAAACUCCGAAUGCCAAUUAAUUUAACUUGGGAGUCAGAACAUGGGUGAUAAGGUCCGUGUUCGAAAGGGAAACAGCCCAGACCACCAGCUAAGGUCCCAAAAUAUAUGUUAAGUGGAAAAGGAUGUGGCGUUGCCCAGACAACUAGGAUGUUGGCUUAGAAGCAGCCAUCAUUUAAAGAGUGCGUAAUAGCUCACUAGUCGAGUGACACUGCGCCGAAAAUGUACCGGGGCUAAACAUAUUACCGAAGCUGUGGAUUGUCCUUUGGACAAUGGUAGGAGAGCGUUCUAAGGGCGUUGAAGCAUGAUCGUAAGGACAUGUGGAGCGCUUAGAAGUGAGAAUGCCGGUGUGAGUAGCGAAAGACGGGUGAGAAUCCCGUCCACCGAUUGACUAAGGUUUCCAGAGGAAGGCUCGUCCGCUCUGGGUUAGUCGGGUCCUAAGCUGAGGCCGACAGGCGUAGGCGAUGGAUAACAGGUUGAUAUUCCUGUACCACCUAUAAUCGUUUUA
rnacentral:rRNA from 1 species